GUAGAUGAAGAGUCCCACAAUAGGACGAAACGGCCGUCCAGUGC
rfam:Schistosoma curassoni strain Dakar, Senegal genome assembly, scaffold: SCTD_scaffold0000279